rnacentral:rRNA from 1 species
AAAUGUGAAAUCCCCGAGCUUAACUUGGGAAUUGCAUUCGAUACUGGUUGGCUAGAGUAUGGGAGAGGAUGGUAGAAUUCCAGGUGUAGCGGUGAAAUGCGUAGAGAUCUGGAGGAAUACCGAUGGCGAAGGCAGCCAUCUGGCCUAAUACUGACGCUGAGGUACGAAAGCAUGGGGAGCAAACAGGAUUAGAUACCCUGGUAGUCCAUGCCGUAAACGAUGUCUACUAGCCGUUGGGGCCCUUGAGGCUUUAGUGGCGCAGCUAACGCGAUAAGUAGACCGCCUGGGGAGUACGGUCGCAAGACUAAAACUCAAAUGAAUUGACGGGGGCCCGCACAAGCGGUGGAGCAUGUGGUUUAAUUCGAUGCAACGCGAAGAACCUUACCUGGCCUUGACAUACAGAGAACUUUCCAGAGAUGGAUUGGUGCCUUCGGGAACUCUGAUACAGGUGCUGCAUGGCUGUCGUCAGCUCGUGUCGUGAGAUGUUGGGUUAAGUCCCGCAACGAGCGCAACCCUUUUCCUUAUUUGCCAGCACUUCGGGUGGGAACUUUAAGGAUACUGCCAGUGACAAACUGGAGGAAGGCGGGGACGACGUCAAGUCAUCAUGGCCCUUAC